rnacentral:rRNA from 1 species
GUGCAGCAGGCGCGAAACCUCCGCAAUACACGAAAGUGUGACGGGCCAUCCCGAGUGCCGUCCGCUGAGGACGGCUUUUCCCCAGUGUACACAGCUGGGGGAAUAAGGGGAGGGCAAGCCUGGUGUCAGCCGCCGCGGUAAUACCAGCUCUCCGAGUGGUGGGGACGCUUAUUGGGCCUAAAGCAUCCGUGGCCGGCUGGGCAAGUCCUCCGUUAAAUCCAACGAUUCAAUCGUUGGGCUGCGGGGGAUACUGUCCAGCUUGGGGGCGGGAGAGGCCGACGGUAUUCCCGGGGUAGGGGUGAAAUCCUAUAAUCCCGGGAGGACCACCAGUGGCGAAGGCUGUCGGCUAGAACGCGCCCGACGGUGAGGGAUGAAAGCUGGGGGAGCGAACCGGAUUAGAUACCCCGGUAGU